rnacentral:rRNA from 1 species
UGGGGAAUAUUGCACAAUGGGCGCAAGCCUGAUGCAGCAACGCCGCGUGAGGGACGACGGCCUUCGGGUUGUAAACCUCUUUUGGCAGGGAAGAAGCGAAAGUGACGGUACCUGCAGAAAAAGCACCGGCUAACUACGUGCCAGCAGCCGAGGUGAUACGUAGGGUGCAAGCGUUGUCCGGCAUUAUUGGGCGUAAAGAGCUCGUAGGCGGUUUGUCGCGUCUGCUGUGAAAACCCGAGGCUCAACCUCGGGCCUGCAGUGGGUACGGGCAAACUAGAGUGCGGUAGGGGAGAUUGGAAUUCCUGGUGUAGCGGUGGAAUGCGCAGAUAUCAGGAGGAACACCUAUGGCGAAGGCAGAUCUCUGGGCCGUAACUGACGCUGAGGCGCGAAAGCAUGGGGAGCGAACA